GACGAACGCUGGCGGCGUGCUUAACACAUGCAAGUCGAACGGAAAGGCCCUGCUUUUGUGGGGUGCUCGAGUGGCGAACGGGGGAGUAACACGUGAGUAACCUGCCCUUGACUUUGGGAUAACUUCAGGAAACUGGGGCUAAUACCCGAUAGGAGCUCCUGCUGCAUGGGGGGGGUUGGAAAGUUUCGGCGGUUGGGGAUGGACUCGCGGCUUAUCAGCUUGUUGGUGGGGUAGUGGCUUACCAAGGCUUUGACGGGUAGCCGGCCUGAGAGGGUGAACGGCCACAAUGGGACUGCGAUACGGCCCAGACGCCAACGGGAGGCAGCAGUGGGGAAUAUUGCACAAUGGGCGGAAGCCUGAUGCAGCAACGCCGCGUGCGGGAAGACGGCCUUCGGGUUGUAAACCGCUUUCGCAUGUAACGAAGCGUGCGUGACGGUAAUGGGUAAAGAAGCACCGGCUAACUACGUG
rnacentral:rRNA from 1 species